CCUCAUACCUUUUAGGGGAAAUACCAUGCCAUAAAAAUGGUUUUUCCAGGGGGAGGGUCAUCCAUUGCAUUUUGGGUGUGCUGUUGAUCCUGUGAUUUCCCCAAAUGUGGGGAACUCAACUAUAAUACAUAAUUUGUAUUAAUGUGGACAUUAUGUUUGUGAUUUUUCUCU
rnacentral:snRNA from 1 species